rnacentral:rRNA from 1 species
UCCGUUGGUGAACCAGCGGAGGGAUCAUUACUGAGUUUACGCUCUAUAACCCUUUGUGAACAUACCUAUAACUGUUGCUUCGGCGGGUAGGGUCUCCGCGACCCUCCCGGCCUCCCGCCUCCGGGCGGGUCGGCGCCCGCCGGAGGAUAACCAAACUCUGAUUUAACGACGUUUCUUCUGAGUGGUACAAGCAAAUAAUCAAAACUUUUAACAACGGAUCUCUUGGUUCUGGCAUCGAUGAAGAACGCAGCGAAAUGCGAUAAGUAAUGUGAAUUGCAGAAUUCAGUGAAUCAUCGAAUCUUUGAACGCACAUUGCGCCCGCCAGCAUUCUGGCGGGCAUGCCUGUUCGAGCGUCAUUUCAACCCUCAAGCUCUGCUUGGUGUUGGGGCCCUACAGCUGAUGUAGGCCCUCAAAGGUAGUGGCGGACCCUCCCGGAGCCUCCUUUGCGUAGUAACUUUACGUCUCGCACUGGGAUCCGGAGGGACUCUUGCCGUAAAACCCCCCAAUUUUCCAAAGGUUGACCUCGGAUCAGGUAGGAAUACCCGCUGAACUUAAGCAUAUCAAU